rnacentral:tRNA from 1 species
UUCCUGGUGGCCUAGCAGUUAAGGAUUUAGCAUUGGCACUGCUGUGGCACAGGUUCGAUCCCUGGCCUGGGAA